AGGCAUUUAGAGACUGGUCUGAAGAGAGACGGAGGAGAGGCAUUUAGAGACUGGUUCUUAGACAUGGUGGUGAUGGUUGGUCUAAUACAGGUAGAGAGAGGAGGAGGAGAGGCAUUUAGAGACUGGUUCUUAGACAUGGUUAUGGUGGUGAUGGUUGGUCUAAUACAGGUAGAGAGAGGAGGAGGAGAGGCAUUUAGAGACUGGUUCUUAGACAUGGUUAUGGUGGUGAUGGUUGGUCUAAUACAGGUGGAGAGAGGAGGAGGAGAGGCAUUUAGAGACUGGUUCUUAGACAUGGUUAUGGUGGUGAUGGUUGGUCUAAUACAGGUAGAGAGAGGAGGAGGAGAGGCAUUUAGAGACUGGUUCUUAGACAUGGUUAUGGUGGUGAUGGUUGGUCUAAUACAGGUGGAGAGAGAGAAAGUCCCCAGAUAGGAUAAAGGUCUUUACAUGUACAGCAGUGAUAGCUCGACAUGUCCGUCUGUGUAACUCUCCUCUCUCUAAACACUGGACACACACUGGAAACAGAUUCACAAAACACUUCUUAUGCAAAACUUAAGAAGCUUCUUAAGAUAGGAACUAUGUGCAAUUCCUCAACAUCUUAAGAUAUAAUUUUC
rnacentral:lncRNA from 1 species